rnacentral:rRNA from 1 species
CAGGCGAAAGACCGAUAGCGAACAAGUACCGUGAGGGAAAGAUGAAAAGCACUUUGGAAAGAGAGUUAAACAGUACGUGAAAUUGUUGAAAGGGAAACGCUUGAAGUCAGUCGCGUCUUCAGAAAUUCAACCUGGCUUCUGCCUGGUGUACUUUUUUUKUGUGGCCCGGGCCAGCAUCAGUUUUGGCCGCCAGAGAAAGGUGGGAGGAAGGUGGCACCUCCGGGUGUGUUAUAGCCUCUCAUCGUAUGUGGCGGCUGGGACUGAGGACCGCAGCACGCCUUCAAUGGCCGGGGUUCGCCCACGUAUCGUGCUUAGGAUGCUGGCGUAAUGGCUUUAAACGACCCGUCUUGAAACACGGACCAAGGAGUCUAACAUGCCUGCGAGUAUUUGGGUGGCAAACCCAUAUGCGGAAUGAAAGUGAACAGUUGGGACUUCUGUCAUGGAAGGCACCGACGCCCGGACCAGACCUAUUGUGACGGAUCCGAGGUAGAGCAUGUAUGUUGGGACCCGAAAGAUGGUGAACUAUGCCUGAGUAGGGUGAAGCCAGAGGAAACUCUGGUGGAGGCUCGUAGCGAUUCUGACGUGCAAAUCGAUCGUCGAACUUGGGUAUAGGGGCGAAAGACUAAUC